ACAUGUGCAUGCACACAUACUCACAAAGACACACUCAGAUAGAUACACACAUACACACUCACACACACAUGCACACACUCAUAAACACACACUCACAAAUUGUGCAUGUACACAGGCACACACACACUCAUACACCUGCAUACACACAUAUAUAUGUGUACACACAAUACACAGAUGUACACACUCAUACACAUGCACACACUGAUAAGCACUCACACACAUUCACAUGCACACACACUCAUACACCUGCACACUCAGGUACACACGUGUACACACAUAUGCAAAUGCACACACUCACCCAUAUGUGCAUAUAUACACAGUCACAAAGACACACACAUACACACACUCACACUCACACUUAGCAGAGGGUGGGAAGUCUCUACAGUUUCUGAGGUCACCCCAUCCCUGGCUCCCUUUAUCUCAGUGAGUUCCCAUUAGGGGUCAGGUCAAUGUAAGGAGUCCUUUAGAUGUGGAAGAAUCUAGAAUUAGAACCAUCAGCUCACUCUGUGACCUUGAAAUUCUGGAACCCAGGUAUCUCUUCUAAGCUGCUUCAAGCUCUGCUCUCAUUCUCCCUUGUCCUGGACUACAAAAUCCUUGUUAAUAAAGUGCCUCAGAGCAAAUACCAGCCUCCAGGUUCCAAGUUCACUAGAAGUUUUUGUGUCAACAUCUCCUCCACGCCGAGAUGCUCCUGGACUCCCAAACUCCAGAUGACCCAAGAGCCACCAUUUUCAGUGUUCAUGACACCCAAUGACCUGUCCCUAGCAGGUACAGGCUUCCUGAGAGUGUGGAUUCCCAGCGACCAGCCCCAUCUGGAGAAGCAAUGAGAAACCACUUUUGACUCAAUAUUUCUUAAAUGUGUAGGCCUGACUAGAUCCAGAGAGAAGUGGUGGGUAGGAGAAAGUCUCUGGUCAACAUUCUCUUUUGGGCAGAUAUGGUGGCAGAUCUCCCCAAGGCUUAAUAUCUUAAAUCAAUGGUCAUUUAUGAUCUGACACAAUGUCCGCUGAUCACAGAACUCGGGUUGGCUGAGCGGCGGUCACCCCAAGUCAGGAGAUCUCGGAAAGUCACAGUUGAACAUUUAGCAGGCUCUGGAGGGGCUUCCAAGGUAGUUCACUCCCUCGGUUGGCAAGCUGAUAUUAGCUGAAGACCAGAAGCCUCAGUUAGGUCAUGCAGACCUCUCUAGAACCUGCUUGAGUGUGCUCACAAUACAGAAGCUGACUUCUUAGAGAUGGGAACUGAUGGAGGACAAGACGGUUACCUUUAUAACUCAGUGCCGGUUGUUACCAGCGUCAUAUCUACAAUAUCCUGUGAGUGACCAGGUCAGCCCUAGUCUCCUUAGGAGAAACCUACACAAGGCUUUGGGUACCCAGAAGAUGAAGUCAUAAAAGGCCAUUUCAUAGGACGGUUGUCACAAUGAGUUGUGAUGUCGCCUUACCGCUGAAGGGAAUGAAGCCCUCAGAAAGCAAACAGUUUUAAGAUCCACACUUAGUGAAAGACCAAAGACAUGAACUUGACCUCAACUCCUACCCCAACAGGCUUCCCCCAUCUUUCCUACCACAAAGUGGCCUGGAUCCCAGAACAGAGCAAGCCACUGUGAUUUCAGCUCGGCAAAACCCAGCACCCAGGGUUUGGCCAACCUCCAGCGUCCUCACACCUCCUGCCCUCUCUGCGGAUCAUUUACUCCAAGGCCCUGUUAUAAAUAUCCACUCGGCAAAAUACCUCUCUCCUCGGGUACCCACUCCCCAGCCCUGGCCGCCCGUACCCUGCUCAAACAAUGCCAGCUUGCAAUCAGCCUGCAAUCUGAAUCCACUUUGCUCACCCAGCACUGAAGGGCUGCCCAAGCUAGUCUGCUGGGGCAUGCUGGCAUGGCCCCAAGAUCACUUUUGCAAGUUAAUGGUGCAGUAGUCAGUUGUUAAAAACACUAAUUGACGUUAAAUAGGUGAUGUUAUCUGACAAUACACAGACGGCUCCUGGUCUAUACACUCC